UACGUAGGGUGCGAGCGUUGUCCGGAAUUAUUGGGCGUAAAGAGCUCGUAGGCGGUUUGUUGCGUCGGCCGAGAAAACUUCACGCUUAACGUGGAGCUUGCGGUCGAUACGGGCAGACUUGAGUUCGGUAGGGGAGACUGGAAUUCCUGGUGUAGCGGUGAAAUGCGCAGAUAUCAGGAGGAACACCGGUGGCGAAGGCGGGUCUCUGGGCCGAUACUGACGCUGAGGAGCGAAAGCGUGGGGAGCGAACAGG
rnacentral:rRNA from 1 species